GAAAUGCGAUAAUUAAUGUGAAUUGCAGAAUUCAGUGAAUCAUCGAGUCUUUGAACGCACAUUGCGCCCCCUGGUAUUCCGGGGGGCAUGCCUGUCCGAGCGUCAUUGCUGCCCUCAAGCACGGCUUGUGUGUUGGGCUUCCGUCCCUGGCAACGGGGACGGGCCCAAAAGGCAGUGGCGGCACCAUGUCUGGUCCUCGAGCGUAUGGGGCUUUGUCACCCGCUCCCGUAGGUCCAGCUGGCACCUAGCCUCGCAACCAAUCUUUUUAACCAGGUUGACCUCGGAUCAGGUAGGGAUACCCGCUGAACUUAAGC
rnacentral:misc_RNA from 1 species